UACGACUACAUAUCAGGCAUAUCAAUAAGCGGAGGAAAAGAAACUAACAAGGAUUCCCUUAGUAACGGCGAGUGAAGCGGGAAGAGCUCAAAUUUGAAAUCUUCAAGGUUUUACCUUGACGAAUUGUAGUUUAAAGAAGUGUUUUCUGUUGAAGUUUCGGUAAAAGUUCUUUGGAAUAGGACAUCAUAGAGGGUGAGAAUCCCGUAUUUGACCGUUAUUUUCAGCUGUGUGAUACACUUUCAAAGAGUCGGAUUGUUUGGGAAUGCAGUCCAAAAUGGGUGGUAAAUUUCAUCUAAAGCUAAAUAUUGGCGAGAGACCGAUAGCGAACAAGUACCGUGAGGGAAAGAUGAAAAGAACUUUGAAAAGAGAGUUAAACAGUACGUGAAAUUGUCAAAAGGGAAGCGUUUGACACCAGUGUUGUUUUCUCGAAAAUCAAUUAAAAAAUGCUUGAUUUUGUGUUGUAUUGACCUUAAAAGCUUUCUUCACUUUUUUCAUGUCUUUUUAAUGCACUUUUCGUUUAACAAGUCAACAUCAGUUUCUUUUGUUGUAAAAAGGUCAUUGGAAGGUGGCUUUCUUUUCGGAGAAAGUGUUUAUAGCCUUUGACUCCUGCAAUCGGAGAGACUGAGGUCUGCAGCGUAGAUCCUUCUUGGAUUAGAUUCAUUUGUGCUAAGUUAUAGCUUUUCAUAGACAACUUGUUGACUAUAGUUUAGUCAUUGUAGCUUACUCGCUUAUGCUAAUUUUACCUACGCUUAGGAUGUUGAAUCUGUGCGAGACUAC
rnacentral:rRNA from 1 species